CUCGUAUAGAAAAAUCUGAAAAAAAUUAUUCCAAGAUAUAAUUGAGAUCCUCCACCUCCGAGUAUGACUAUGGAGGAGAUUGAUGGAGAUCCUUUCAGUAUCAAAAAAAUAAUCAUAAAGAAAAAAAUUUGAAGAGCAAAAGUCAGAGGGAAAAAAAGAAGAAAUUUAGAUAGGAUGUAUAAAAUCAGAUCUCAAGAUAGUCCUUUUAUAACUAUCCA
rnacentral:lncRNA from 1 species